GACGAACCGUCCAAACGUUAUUCGGAAUCACUGGGCUUAAAGGGUGCGUAGGCGGCCAUGUAAGUGAGGUGUGAAAUCCCUCGGCUCAACCGAGGAACUGCGCUUCAUACUGCAUGGCUUGAGGGAGACAGGGGUAAGCGGAACUGAUGGUGGAGCGGUGAAAUGCGUUGAUAUCAUCAGGAACACCGGUGGCGAAAGCGGCUUACUGGGUCUCUUCUGACGCUGAGGUACGAAAGCUAGGGUAGCGAACGGG
rnacentral:rRNA from 1 species